UGGAGAAUGGGAUUGAUGUCGGACGGGAUAAAAUGAGUGCAAUAUAAGGUGACGGAUAUGGAAUAGGAUAAGGUGAGAUAAAAGAGAAAUAUAAGGAUCAAAAGUGAGAUAUGAGAGUCUAAGAUGAGGUUAAGAAGAAGAUAAUACAAGAAAACACUGUACACAAGAAUGGAAAGACGCAAAACAA